UGGUUCUGGCAUCGAUGAAGAACGCAGCGAAAUGCGAUAAGUAAUGUGAAUUGCAGAAUUCAGUGAAUCAUCGAAUCUUUGAACGCACAUUGCGCCCGCCAGUAUUCUGGCGGGCAUGCCUGUUCGAGCGUCAUUUCAACCCUCAGGCCCCCAGUGCCUGGCGUUGGGGAUCGGCUCAGGGGGGCGACCGCGCAAGCGGCCGCCCUUCCCGCCGGCCCCGAAAUCUAGUGGCGGUCUCGCUGUAGUCCUCCUCUGCGUAGUAGCACAACCUCGCAGCUGGAACGCGGCGGCGACCAUGCCGUAAAACACCCCACUUCUGAAAGUUGACCUCGGAUCAGGUAGGAAUACCCGCUGA
rnacentral:misc_RNA from 1 species